rnacentral:lncRNA from 1 species
ACGUACGUACUUAGACACUACUCUUGCUCAAAUGCAGAUAUAUAUUCAAUUCCGAGCUGGAGAUUUCGCAUCUUAGCUUCAACAAACUUCAUCCUAUUGAUUUGUUUUUUCUUUUAAUGUUCCUUCGUUUAUAUAUGAUCUUUUUUACGCCAUUAUGAUUUUAUGUUCUAUACAAUGUGAUAUUUAUGUUUUGCAAAGUGAAAAAAAGCAAUAGUUUUGUUUUAGCAAAUUUAAAAUUCAAGGAGUUUAAGGGUUUUUAUUCUUUUUCUCUUGCGUAAUUUGGAACUAAAGAUUUUAAUUUUAUUUUUUUUCACUCUUAUCCAAAUUUUUUAGUUUAAUCGUCCUUUAUUUAUUUUACUCUGAAUUUGAGUACGCAAUGUACAGAUAACUAUCUUUAAUUUUUUUUGUUUCUUUUCUGUCCUUACUACACCCGUACGUGUGUGAAUUAAUAAUUUUGCAUGUAGUUUACAUUGCAAGACCAAGUGAUCAGAGCUAGUCUUAUACCAAGAGGUAGACUGUGAAGACUUGCAAAAGAUAGCCUUUUGACUUCUUUGUUCACUGUUACACGAUGAAUGACGCUCUUGUAUAUGCCGUUGCUCAUCACCUCUACCUGAUCUCCCAGCUGAACUAUCAAAGCUCCUUCUAUAUACGGCACACAAACCCAGUUUUUGUUGCAGUCCAUUAUCUGGAGUCCCUUGCUACUCUGAAGUAAGAUGGUCAGUGAGCUGAAGUCUGAGUGUGGUGGCAUUCCCAAGGCCAUUUCAGGUUCCGGGCAUGCUGGAUAACAAUUCACUGCCAUGACUUGUGAGCCUUCUUCUAUCUCUUCUUCAUGGAGGAUUUGAUGGCCACAUAUCGAUCCACUUUGAGAGUGGAUGAGAGUAAUGCUUGAUGAAAUCUCUCCAGUAGUGAACUCUGUCUGUUGAAUGGUUAAGGCUUGUGCCAUACCUGACUGGCUCAUGAACGUUUGCAGACACCAGAAGCAUCUUCUCUUCCACAGGUAAGUCGAAGAACUGUGUUGCUGCAUCUAAGGCAUCGUUAACCACUGAUGAUGGUAUUCCAUGGUUUAUAACCUGUAGGGAAGUAAAAGUUAGGGCCUUUAUCUCUUAGUUCUGUACAGUCGUACAGAGUAGAGAAAACAUUGCAUGCAUGCAUUUUGUGUUCUCAUUUAAGACUGAGAUUGAGGAUUUUGUCUUUUCUUUCGUUGUUUGCCCUGAUCAGGGACUUUAUUCCUUAUGAAAUAAAUGCAAGAAGACAAUAGCCGUCUUUCUAAGAGAUCCCCGAAGUAUGAUUGGUAGAUGUGAUAAAUUCACUCCAGAGUUAGUUCUAGUGACUAAGCAUGGAAACGCUUGGACUGAAUUUGCAUGAAAUAAACACAAAACUUGCUGGAUUUGUGAUAAAGCAUGACUUAUUUUACCUGAAAGAAACCAAACUCCUUGCAGGCCAUGCUAAUCUCGUGGAUUGCGAGGGAUCGAAGGAAAGGUUGGUGCAAAAGAGAGAGAUCAAUGACAGGAAGUGUAGUCUCGCUGGUGCCUAAGCUUGAACCAAGAGCUGGCCUUUGCGAAGGAGGAAGAACGUAGCGAUCAGGGACUUGAGGCACACCUGAAUUGGUAAGUGUCAUUGCACUUGUAAAAGAAUCAUCAAGCAAACUCAUUUUUGUUUCCUCCAUAUUUUUUUGUUUGCUCUUUAUGUAUUUAGUACUACUAUACUAAAGAGUAUGGCAACAUGCAUAGCGUAUAUAUAUACUUGUUAAAAUUUCUUCUAGAAAGAUAAAUAUCCCAAUUUUGUAAAGUCAACAUUUUUAUAUUUUUCCUAGUUUGCUUACGGUAUUGGAAACCACCUGCAGCAUCUUUACAAUAAAUGAA